GAUGAACGCUGGCGGCGUGCUUAAUACAUGCAAGUCGAGCGAACAGACGAGGAGCUUGCCUCUCUGAUGUUAGCGGCGGACGUGUGAGUAACACGUGGAUCCCCUACUUAUAAGUAUGGGAUCACAUCGGGAAACAGGAGCUCAUAUCGGCUGAGAUAGUGAACCGCAUGGUUAAAUAGUAAAUGUCGGUUUUGGUGUCUCUUAUAGAUGGUUCCGCGCGGCAUUAGCUAGUUGGUAAGGUAACGGCUUACCAAGGCAACGAUGCGUAGCCGACCUGAGAGGGUGAUCGGCCACACUGGAACUGAGACACGGUCCAGACUCCUACGGGAGGCAGCAGUGGGGAAUCUUCGGCAAUGGGCGAAAGCCUGACGGAGCAACGCCGCGUGAGUGAUGAAGGCCUUCGGGUCGUAAAACGCUGUUAGUAGGGAAGAACAGGUGUGUAAUAAACUAUGCACGUAUUGACGGUACCUGAUCAAAAAGCCACGGCUAACUACGUG
rnacentral:rRNA from 1 species